rnacentral:misc_RNA from 1 species
UCCGGUUUAUCACCGGCAGUCUCCACAGAGUCCUCGGCUUUACCCGUUAGUAACUGUGAACAAGGGUUGCGCUCGUUGCGGGACUUAACCCAACAUCUCACGACACGAGCUGACGACAGCCAUGCAGCACCUGUCUCCGGUCCAGCCGAACUGAAAGGCUCCAUCUCUGGUGCCCGCGACCGGGAUGUCAAAGGCUGGUAAGGUUCUGCGCGUUGCUUCGAAUUGAACCACAUGCUCCACCGCUUGUGCGGGCCCCCGUCAAUUCCUUUGAGUUUCAAACUUGCGUUCGUACUCCCCAGGUGGGAUACUUAUCACUUUCGCUUAGCCACUCAGUAUUGCUACCGAACAGCUAGUAUCCAUCGUUUACGGCGUGGACUAC